rnacentral:rRNA from 1 species
CCUACGGGGCGCACCAGUGGGGAAUUUUGGACAAUGGGGCAACCCUGAUCCAGCCAUGCCGCGUGAGUGAAGAAGGCCUUCGGGUUGUAAAGCUCUUUCGGCCGGGAAGAAAUCGCACAGGCUAAUACCCUGUGUUGAUGACGGUACCGGAAUAAGAAGCACCGGCUAACUACGUGCCAGCAGCCGCGGUAAUACGUAGGGUGCGAGCGUUAAUCGGAAUUACUGGGCGUAAAGCGUGCGCAGGCGGUUUCGUAAGACAGAGGUGAAAUCCCCGGGCUCAACCUGGGAACUGCCUUUGUGACUGCGAGGCUAGAGUACGGCAGAGGGGGGUGGAAUUCCACGUGUAGCAGUGAAAUGCGUAGAGAUGUGGAGGAACACCGAUGGCGAAGGCAGCCCCCUGGGCCGAUACUGACGCUCAUGCACGAAAGCGUGGGUAGCAAACAGGAUUAGAUACCCGGGUAGUC